CUCUCCUUUUGGAGGUGGCGUCGGGUCGUCGGGCGCUCUCACGGGCAGCGUUGGGACGACGCAUGAGUGGCAGCCAGGAUAUGUUCCCACAGCAGGCUCCGUGCCUCUCGCAUCGAACUGCUUUGGACUGUCCGUUUCAAUUGUUCGCUCGCCUCGACGCCCCUAGGGUCGGUCGCGAGCGACGCGUGGGUUCCUGCGGUUGAUACCGUAAUGCGGUACUCGGACUCAUCGUUGUCCACGUCUCGGUUCCCUUGUUUCCCCUCCGCCUCGNGGGGCGUUGGUGGAUACCGUGCGGGCGUCGUCGCUUUCCGUUCGGUCGGUCGUCCACCUAUGGGCGUUUCCGCUCGUGUCGGCGCGUCGAUGGCGUCCGCGUGCUCUCGGGUACGGAGAUAAUUUCUUUCGUUAUCGCGGUCCAUUGAUGGCCGUCGCCAUCUCGACGUGUCGAAGCUUCUUUGCUUCCGCUCGGGUUACCCUCGUGCCACCCUUGGAGCUCACGGGGCCUCUCCGCUCCGCGUUCGUCCUCGGGUGGCAUCGAGGUCUCAGAGA
rnacentral:misc_RNA from 1 species